rnacentral:rRNA from 1 species
AGUUUGAUCCUGGCUCAAGAUGAACAACUGGCGGCGCUGCCUAACUCAUGCCCGUCAAACUAAGCACUUCCGACUGAUUUCUUCCGAAGGAAGAAUUUUAUGACUGACUGGCGGACGGGUGAGUAACGCGUGGGCAACCUGCCCCGUCUACCGGGGGACAACUCGCCGGAAACGGCUGCUAAUACCGCAUAAGCGCACAGCUUCGCAUGGAACAGUGUGAAAAAUUCCGGCGGCGCGGGAUGGGCCCGCGUCUGAUUAGCUUGUUGGCGGGGCAACGGCCCACCAAGGCGACGAUCGGUAUCCGGUCUGAGAGGGAGGACGGCCACAUUGGGACUGACACACGGCCCAAACUCCUACGGCGCAGGCAGCCUCUGGUGAAUAUUGCGCGAUGGGGGAAACCCUGAUGCCCGACGCCACGUGAGCCAAGAAGUAUGUCCGUAUGUAAAGCUCUAUCAGCACCGGAAGAAAAUGACGGUACCUGACUAACAAGCUCCGGCUAAAUACUUGCCAUCAUCCGCGGUAAUACCUAUGGAGCAAGCGUUAUCCGGAUUUACUGGGUGUAAAGGGAGCGUAGGCGGCCUGGCAAGUCUGGUGUGAAAUACCGGGGCCCAACCCCGGGGCUGCAUUGGAAACUGUCAGGCUGGAGUGCCGGAGGGGCAGGCGGAAUUCCUAGUGUAGCGGUGAAAUGCGUAGAUAUUAGGAGGAACACCGGUGGCGAAGGCGGCUUACUGGACCGUAACUGACGUUGAGGCUCGAAAGCGUGGGGAGCAAACAGGAUUAGAUACCCUGGUAGUCCACGCCGUAAACGAUGAUUACUAGGUGUCGGGGGACCAAGGUGCUCCGGUGCCGGUGCAAACGCAUUAAGUAAUCCGCAUGGGGAGUAGGUUUGCAAGAAUGAAACUCUAAGGAAUUGACGGGGAUCUGCACAAGCGGUGGAGCAUGUGGUUUAAUUGGAAUCAAUGAGAAGAGCGUUGUCUGGUCAUGACAUCCUGGUGAAGCAUGAGAAAAGUUACGUUUCUUUCUGGACCCCGGAUACAGGUGGUGCAUGGUUGUCGUCAGCUCGUGUCGUGAGAUGAGGGGUUAAGUCCAUCAUCGAGCGCAACCCCUAUUUCCAGUAGCCAGCAUGAAAGAUGGGCGGUCCGGAGAGACUCCCCGGGACAACCGGGAGGAAGGCGGGGCCGAGGUAAAAUCAUCAUGCCCCUUAUGCCCAGGGCUACACACGUGAUACAAUGGUGUCAACAAAGGGAGGCAAGAAUCCGACGUCAAGCAAAUCCCAGAAAUAACGUCCCAGUUCGG